AACGAACGCUGGCGGCGUGCCUAACACAUGCAAGUCGAGCGAGAAAGUCUCCGCAAGGGGAUGAGUAAAGCGGCGCACGGGUGCGUAACACGUGGGUAACCUACCUUGGAGACCGGAACAACCUUCCGAAAGGAGGGCUAAUACCGGAUAAGACCACGGGAACCUUGGUUCCUGAGGUAAGAAGACGGCCUCUGCACGCAAGCCGUCACUUCUAGAGGGGCCCGCGGCCCAUCAGCUUGUUGGCGGGGUAAUGGCCCACCAAGGCGACGACGGGUAGCUGGUCUGAGAGGACGAUCAGCCACACUGGAACUGAGACACGGUCCAGACUCCUACGGGAGGCAGCAGUGGGGAA
rnacentral:rRNA from 1 species